GAUGAACGCUGGCGGCGUGCCUAAUACAUGCAAGUCGAGCGAACAGACGAGGAGCUUGCUCCUCUGACGUUAGCGGCGGACGGGUGAGUAACACGUGGAUAACCUACCUAUAAGACUGGGAUAACUUCGGGAAACCGGAGCUAAUACCGGAUAAUAUAUUGAACCGCAUGGUUCAAUAGUGAAAGACGGUUUUGCUGGCACUUAUAGAUGGAUCCGCGCCGCAUUAGCUAGUUGGGAAGUUAACGGCUUACCAAGGCAACGAUGCGUAGCCGACCUGAGAGGGUGAUCGGCCACACGGGAACUGAGACACGGUCCAGACUCCUACGGGAGGCAGCAGACGGGACUCUGCCGCCGUGGGCGCGCGCCUGGCGGCGCGGCGCCGCGUGUGUGAUGAAGGUCUUCGGAUCGUAAAACUCUGUUAUUAGGGAAGAACCCCUGUGUCCGUCGCUGUGCCCGUCUUGCCGGUCCCUGGUCCGAAAGCCCCGGCUCCCUACGUG
rnacentral:rRNA from 1 species